ACUCCUACGGGAGGCAGCAGUGGGGAAUAUUGCACAAUGGGGAACCCGUACUGCAGCCAUGCCGCGUGUGUGAAGAAGGCCUUCGGGUUGUAAAGCACUUUCAGUCGUGAGGAAGGUAGUGUAGUUAAUAGCUGCAUUAUUUGACGUUAGCGACAGAAGAAGCACCGGCUAACUCCGUGCCAGCAGCCGCGGUAAUACGGAGGGUGCGAGCGUUAAUCGGAAUUACUGGGCGUAAAGCGCAUGCAGGCGGCCUGUUAAGUCAGAUGUGAAAG
rnacentral:rRNA from 1 species